rnacentral:ncRNA from 1 species
CUAAUUGUGAUGACGGGGUAAAGUAAACGGAACGAUCUUUCCAGGGAGGCGGCGUCAUAGACUGAAAGCGCUGUUAAAGUAUCAACCGUCGAAGGUUCACCUCUGAGCUGCCAGACUGAAACCCAAGGGUAAGUAGGUUUGGUCGGAGACUUCCACCGUUAAAAGGAAGGGGGUAUAAGGAAUAGAUAUUGGAAAAUAUUAUUAUUCCCGUACUUUGAAAUGAGGAGGGGUCUUUUUAUAGACCCAAUCUGGGUGGUACCGCGAAAAAACACUUUUCGUCCCUUGA